rfam:Microcebus murinus cont1.86141, whole genome shotgun sequence.
CUGUCUCCGGCUUCAACAGUGUUUGGACGGAACAG